rfam:Homo sapiens chromosome 10, GRCh38 reference primary assembly.
GCCGGGCGUGGUGGCACACUCCUGUAAUCCCAGCUACUUGGGAGGCUGAGGCAGGAGAAUCGUUUGAACCCAGGAGUUGGAGGUUGCAGUGAGCCGAGAUAGCACCACUGCACUCUAGCCUGGGUAACAGAGCGAGACUCCGUCUCAA